CUUUUGGGGGUUGUAGAAGAGCAGCUUCAGGGAGCAGCUGUCUUCUGGGACAAAACUGACAACAGCAACACCAUGAAAAAUCCUGGCCUUUAGUUCUUCAGGGGUGAGUUCAUUGUCAUUUAGAUACAUCAGUUAGAUGGAACUCAAUAGACUGCAUUCAAUUAAUCAAUUCUCUUGAGAAGAUAAAGUAUAAAGUAACAAUCUAAGCUUUUGGUUCAGAACCUUUAAGGUGUCACUCACCAUGAUUGAAGCUGAGCCAGAAAUGUCAGCUUUGCUAAUUAAGUCUUUGCUGUUUCAUCUACUUUUCAACUGACCUGGCAAAUCUGAACUUCAGAAGAUGAUAAACUAUGACCAACACUGGGAAUUCAUUUUCUUAAAGCAAAUUCAGGAGGUGUGAAUUCAACCCAGUGAUGAAUAUGUCUUUCUCCUUCCAAAGCAUCAUCCAUACCAAAUUUUACAAUUUGGCAUCUGUUUUGACAACUCUAGCAAGCAAUCAUUUUGACAGAAGACCAUCUGUGUUAAGCAGCAUGCACAGCGUCUACAUGAAACAGAAAGGAACAGAACAGUGCCUAGGAACAGAUCACUGACUAAAAUGACCCUGGAGUUUGGUAUUUAGAAUCUCAGGGGAAAAUAUAUGGCAAGAGUUGGACAUUUGAGGCAGAUUCCUGUCUAGAAUGGUUUCAAGGGCUAACACUCUCCCUUGAGGACUGAAAUGAUGAGAAGGAAACAU
rnacentral:lncRNA from 1 species